GAUGAACGCUGGCGGCGUGCCUAAUACAUGCAAGUCGAGCGAACAGAUAAGGAGCUUGCUCCUUUGACGUUAGCGGCGGACGGGUGAGUAACACGUGGGUAACCUACCUAUAAGACUGGAAUAACUCCGGGAAACCGGGGCUAAUGCCGGAUAACAUUUAGAACCGCAUGGUUCUAAAGUGAAAGAUGGUUUUGCUAUCACUUAUAGAUGGACCCGCGCCGUAUUAGCUAGUUGGUAAGGUAACGGCUUACCAAGGCAACGAUACGUAGCCGACCUGAGAGGGUGAUCGGCCACACUGGAACUGAGACACGGUCCAGACUCCUACGGGCGGCAGCAGUAGGGAAUCUUCCGCAAUGGGCGAAAGCCUGACGGAGCAACGCCGCGUGAGUGAUGAAGGUCUUCGGAUCGUAAAACUCUGUUAUUAGGGAAGAACAAAUGUGUAAGUAACUGUGCACGUCUUGACGGUACCUAAUCAGAAAGCCACGGCUAACUACGUG
rnacentral:rRNA from 1 species